rnacentral:rRNA from 1 species
UACGGGAGGCAGCAGUGAGGAAUAUUGGUCAAUGGACGAGAGUCUGAACCAGCCAAAUCGCGUGAAGGAAGACUGCCCUACGGGUUGUAAACUUCUUUUGUACAGGAAUAAAAGACAUUACGUGUAAUGUAUUGCAUGUACUGUAAGAAUAAGCAUCGGCUAACUCCGUGCCAGCAGCCGCGGUAAUACGGAGGAUGCGAGCGUUAUCCGGAUUUAUUGGGUUUAAAGGGUGCGCAGGCGGGAUUUUAAGUCAGCGGUGAAAUUUUCAGGCUCAACCUGAACACUGCCGUUGAAACUGGGAUUCUUGAGUAUGGAUGAAGUGGGCGGAAUUCGUUGUGUAGCGGUGACAUGCUUAGAUAUAACGAGGAACUCCGAUUGCGUAGGCAGCUUAGUAAGCCAUAACUGACGCUCAAGCACGAAAGCGUGGGGAUCAAACAGGAUUAGAUACCCUGGUAGUCCACGCAGUAAACGAUGAUUACUAGUUGUGUGCGAUAUACCGUAAGUGACUCAAGCGAAAGCGAUAAGUAAUCCACC